ACAAACUUGGUCAUUUAGAGGAAGUAAAAGUCGUAACAAGGUCUCCGUAGGUGAACCUGCGGAGGGAUCAUCAUUGAAAUUAAAUUUGAACAGAAGGUUGGCUUUUUGUGUAGUCUCCUUCUGGACAAACAACCAAUUUACAUGACUAGGAAAAAACAUUGACUUGGAUGUGCAUUGCAAUACAAAAAAGUUCUUGUCUGACAAGUAGUGGCUUGCUGAUUUGGAGCACACAUAAUAAUUGAUACAACUUUCAACAACGGAUCUCUUGGCUCUCACAUCGAUGAAGAACGCAGC
rnacentral:misc_RNA from 1 species